CUACGGGGCGCUCCAGCAGGGAAUAUUGCACAAUGGACGGAAGUCUGAUGCAGCGACGCCGCGUGGAUGAUGAAGGCCCUCGGGUUGUAAAAUCCUUUUCAGGGGGACGAGGAAGGACGGUACCCUUGGAAUAAGCGUCGGCUAACUACGUGCCAGCAGCCGCGGUAAGACGUAGGACGCAAGCGUUAUCCGGAUUUACUGGGCGUAAAGCGUCUGUAGGCGGAAUGGUAAGUUGGACGUGAAAGCUCCGGGCUCAACCCGGAGAGGUCGUUCAAUACUGCCAAACUAGAGGGCAUCAGGGGAGCGUGGAAUUUCCGGUGUAGCGGUAAAAUGCGCAGAUAUCGGAAGGAACACCAAUGGCGAAGGCAGCGCUCUGGGAUGAACCUGACGCUAAGAGACGAAAGCUAGGGGAGCGAACAGGAUUAGAUACCCCAGUAGUC
rnacentral:rRNA from 1 species